GAUGAAGAACGUAGCGAAAUGCGAUAAGUAAUGUGAAUUGCAGAAUUCAGUGAAUCAUCGAAUCUUUGAACGCACAUUGCGCCCGCCAGUAUUCUGGCGGGCAUGCCUGUUCGAGCGUCAUUUCAACCAUCAAGCCCCCGGCUUGUGUUCGGGACCUGCGGCUGCCGCAGGCCCUGAAAACCAGUGGCGGGCUCGCUAGUCACUCCGAGCGUAGUAAUACAUCUCGCUCAGGGCGUGCUGCGGGUUCCGGCCGUUAAAAAGCCUUAUUUACCCAAGGUUGACCUCGGAUCAGGUAGGAAGACCCGCUGAACUUAAGCAUAUCAAUAAGCGGAGGA
rnacentral:misc_RNA from 1 species